rnacentral:rRNA from 1 species
UACGGAGGGUGCAAGCGUUGUCCGGAAUCACUGGGCGUAAAGGGCGCGUAGGCGGCUCAUGAAGGCUGUGGUGAAAGUCCGGGGCUCAACCUCGGAUCGGCCGUGGCGACUCGUGGGCUGGGGCACUGUAGAGGCGGGUGGAAUUCCGGGUGUAGCGGUGGAAUGCGUAGAGAUCCGGAAGAACACCAGUGGCGAAGGCGGCCCGCUGGGCAGUGGCUGACGCUGAGGCGUGACAGCGUGGGGAGCAAACAGG